GGUGUGUAGCUCAGUUGGUAGAGCACUUGACUUUUAAUCAAGUUGUCCCGGGUUCGAGCCCCGGCA
rnacentral:tRNA from 1 species